rnacentral:rRNA from 1 species
UACGGAGGGCGCAAGCGUUAAUCGGAAUUACUGGGCGUAAAGCGUGCGUAGGCUGUUUGAUAAGUCAGGCGUGAAAUCCCUCGGCUCAACCGGGGAACUGCGCUUGAUACUGUCGAACUCGAGUCCUGGAGAGGGUGGCGGAAUUCCUGGUGUAGGAGUGAAAUCCGUAGAUAUCAGGAGGAACACCGGUGGCGAAGGCGGCCACCUGGACAGGUACUGACGCUGAGGCACGAAAGCGUGGGGAGCAAACAGG